AGUUCCCAAACGGACCUCUGUGACCUCACCAGCAGUGCCACACCUGCUGUGUCCCCUGAGACCUUUUUCCUAACAUGAAGUUCCUCUGCUGUCACCUCUCCAAGUUUGCUGUCUUGCUUCCAGAAAAUGCCAGCCAGAACAACCACUGCACUCAGUGUCCAGAUACCAAGCUAUCAGAAACAUGCAGCUACAGCUGAGCAGCUGCGACCAUCUCCGUCCUUUCAGGAUCGGUCGCCAUCUUGACCCUGGAGAGACUCAGAACAAACCUCUCUGAAAUUUCAAAGACCCAGAGCUCACAUCUUUUGACUACAAGAAAAUGGAGAAAAGAAAAAAGGCAUGAAAGAAACAAGGAUGCUGAACCAAGGCGCAAAGCUUCCUUUUCCAAUGGCAUGACCCCAGCCCAGGGGAAUUCUCUUCUGGCCUGGAAGAAUGACAGUCCUCCUUCCCUUUCUCCCUUGGCAAGGUACCUCCAGUGGGCUGAUGGUAGAGACAAAGGCUCUGCUUUUGAGAGUAACUGUUGGAGGAAACGGAUGUUGGAUGUCUCCUGGGUCAACAUCUCCUCUCUGACACCGGGUGGUGGCGGCGGUGGCAGCAGCGGUGGUGCACGCCUUAAAUCCCAGCACUCAAAAGGCAGAGGCAGGUGGAUUUCUGAGUUCGAGGCCAGCCUGGUCUACAAAGUGAGUUCCAGGACAGCCAGGGCAUGUCCUAUACAGAGAAACUCUGUCUCGAAAACAAAACAAAACAAAAAAGAAAACAAACAAACAAAACAACAACAACAACAAAAGAAAUGAAGUCUGAGGGCUAAGGCCAAAGAGCAGGAGGCAUGGUUUACCUCCAGAAGUCAUCUCAAGAAGUCAUAGGAGGGUGGAGGCUGGAGAGCUAUCUCUGUGGUUAAGAGCACUGCCUGACCUUCUAAAGGACCUAGGUUCACUCCUAGCCUCCACAUGGCAGCCCACCCUUGUUUGUAGCCCCAGUUCCAGGAGGGUCCGACACCCUCUUCUGCCCUCUACAGGCACUGCACACAACCUGUGCACAGAAAGCCAUGCACCACGCAGGCUAAGUGCCCAUACACAUAAAGUAAAACGAGAAUUAAAAAUUAAAAAAUUAAAGAUGUAUUCUCAGAAGAAGCCACACUGGCCGGAGGCCGGAGCAGCGGGAGGGAGGAGGAUUUAUGUGCAAAUCCCAGAAGCCAGUGUUCCCAAGAUGUUCUACCCACAUCGGGUUCAGUGGCCUUGUGGCCUUUUGAGAACCGAAUCUAUGGCUGACGGAGGAAACACCUGCCGCUGAGGGGUUCUGGUUAGUACACCAAAGGCAAUCUCGAUCCUGAAAUAGCUCUGCUCCAAGAUUCAUAUUAUAAAAGAAAACAGAAACUAACAGCCCCUAACGUCACAGCACAAGACAAAACAGGAAGCUAGGAAGGAGUGAGAAUCCGGCUGCAGGAGGCUCCUUUCCCUUGCUUUCCACUUUACCUGUGUCACUAGGGCUUGGCCGGGACAUGUGUUUGCCUCAGUGCCGCGGAAUACCACAGAAACCCACAAUGACUCACUUUCCGGGCAGAGGCAGGUCUAGCCUAGGUCAGCACUUAAUGUGUGGGUGAAGGCCUUUCCUUUGUGCAGCUUCCCCCCAAGCAUUAUCAAAUUAUCCAAGCCAUCUGGGUGGUCUGUCAAGACCGCAGCUUCUGCAGCUUCCGCUCAGCUGGAGCAGCGAAGGGUUCUCUGCCGAGCUCUGUUCAUGAUGAAAGCAGGAGACGUGGGGUCUCUUCCCCUGGGCUGUCCAAUAUGUAUUCCGCGGGAAUGUGACACAGGAGGCCCAAACUACUUCAAGAUCAGGCGUGGGACAACACAGGCAAGACUGAGGCCACGCAGCUCCAAGAGAAGGGCCUGGGCUUGAAGCAGACCCACGGGAACGGGCAUCAAGUACACAGGGUGGGUUUAAGACUGUGGUCUGGGGCUGGAGAGAUGGCUCAGCGGUUAAGAGCACUGACUACUCUCCCAGAGGUCCCGAGUUCAAUUCCCAGCAACCGCAUGAUGACUCAUAGCCAUCUGUAAUGGGAUCUGAUGCCCUCUUCUGGUGUGUCUGAAGACAGCUAUAGCACACUCAUGUAUAAAUAAAUCUUUAAGACUGUGGACCAA
rnacentral:lncRNA from 1 species